UGAGAACCCUUUCUUUAAAGAUUCUUUUGGUUCAUCACAAGCCUCUGUGGCUUCUUCUCAACCUGUAUCUUCUGAGAUGUAUAGGGAUCCAUUUGGAAAUCCUUUUGCCUAAAUUCUGUAAGUAGAAGAUCCUAAUAAGCCUGUCUCAGGGGUUUUUGUGAGAAAGGGUGACAUGGAAUAAAGAGUGAAAUUUUAAUUUUAGAAUUGGGAAGAGGGUAAAUAUCUAUAAUUUAGGAGUAAUCGACAGGAAAAUCUCUACUGAGAUCAUUCAAUAAUGACUAGGCUGGGCACUUAAGAAUAGAAUUCCUAAACACAUCAAAAAAUAGUAAUAUACCCUUGGGGAUGUGGAUUUUUAUCUUAUUCCAUGUUUUUGGUUUUUCAGUUCU
rnacentral:sRNA from 1 species